GAUGAAGAACGCAGCGAAAUGCGAUAAGUAAUGUGAAUUGCAGAAUUCAGUGAAUCAUCGAAUCUUUGAACGCACCUUGCGCUCCUUGGUAUUCCGAGGAGCAUGCCUGUUUGAGUGUCAUGAAAUUCUCAACCUUUUCAGCUUUCUUUGUUGAUCAGGCUUGGAUGUGGGAGUAUGCGGGCUUCUCAGAAGUCGGCUCUCCUGAAAUGCAUUAGCGGGACCUUUGUUGCCUGGCUUUGGUGUGAUAAUUAUCUACGCCAUUGUGGUCAAGCAGCUUAAAAUGAGGAUUCAGCUUCUAACCGUCUCCCCUGAGACAACUUUUUGACAAUUUGACCUCAAAUCAGGUAGGACUACCCGCUGAACUUAAGCAUAUCAAUAAGCGGAGGA
rnacentral:misc_RNA from 1 species